GUCAGAAAGGAGAAACGUUUAAAAGUAAACAUUAAAACAAUGUCCGCUCUAGCUCGUUGAUGCACAAUUGAAAGAAGUGACAAAAAAAGCCACCAACGCAGAUCACAAUUCACAAAAAACGAAAUCCCAAGGUGAUGAUGGACGCCAGUCCAACUUCUACACACUUCAACAACCACACAACUUCACCAAUCCAACUUCUACACUUACAAGUGAUUCCAGAUGUUUCAGCACCUGGGCAACAGUGCUUCCUGCCAGUUAUUCAGAAUGCUUUUCUAUUCACCGUAGCAUACUACAAGGCAACAGCAAAUGUUAAGUUACGAAUUUACAAUGGACCUUGAUAAUUGGAGAGCAGCAUUGGAAUGUGACAGGUUGUCUGGUUGUUUGGGGAAACUUCGUCUGCUCCUUUAGAAGUUACAUAGUACACAACUACACAUCAAAAGUUACUUUACAAAAUAAAAACAAAUUCAGAUUAGGAUUUUGAGAAGAUUUCAGCUGAAGUUGACCUAGGUGCAGUGUUAGUGCUUGUGUAAACAGAGAUCAAAUGGGACAAUCCAAUAUUGCAAGCUAUGUUUUCCCUUAGUCUUACUUCUUUUUCUUUUUUCAAGGAUUUAAAAAUUAU